rnacentral:rRNA from 1 species
AUUGAACGCUGGCGGCAGGCCUAACACAUGCAAGUCGAGUGGAUGAAGGGAGCUUGCUCCUGGAUUCAGCGGCGGACGGGUGAGUAAUGCCUAGGAAUCUGCCUGGUAGUGGGGGAUAACGUCCGGAAACGGGCGCUAAUACCGCAUACGUCCUGAGGGAGAAAGUGGGGGAUCUUCGGACCUCACGCUAUCAGAUGAGCCUAGGUCGGAUUAGCUAGUUGGUGGGGUAAAGGCCUACCAAGGCGACGAUCCGUAACUGGUCUGAGAGGAUGAUCAGUCACACUGGAACUGAGACACGGUCCAGCCCCCUACGGGAGGCAGCAGGGGGGAAUAUUGGACAAGGGGCAAAAGCCUGAUCCAGCCAUGCCGGGUGUGUGAAGAAGGUCUUCGGUUUGUAAAGCACUUUAAGUUGGGAGGAAGGGCAGUAAGUUAAUACCUUGCUGUUUUGACGUUACCAACAGAAUAAGCACCGGCUAACUUCGU